GAUGAACGCUGGCGGCGUGCCUAAUACAUGCAAGUCGAGCGAACGGACGAGAAGCUUGCUUCUCUGAUGUUAGCGGCGGAAGGGUGAGUAAAACGUGGAUAACCUACCUAUAAGACUGGGAUAACUUCGGGAAACCGGAGCUAAUACCGGAUAAUAUUUUGAACCGCAUGGUUCAAAAGUGAAAGAUGGUCUUGCUGUUACUUAUAGAUGGAUCCACGCUGCAUUGGCUAGUUGGUAAGGUAACGGCUUACCAAGGCAACGAUGCAUAGCCGACCUGAGAGGGUGAUCGGCCACACUGGGACUGAGACACGGUCCAGACUCCUACGGGAGGCAGCAGUAGGGAAUCUUCCGCAAUGGGCGAAAGCCUGACGGAGCAACGCCGCGUGAUUGAUGAAGGUCUUCGGAUCGUAAAACUCUGUUAUUAGGGAAGAACAUAUGUGUAAGUAACUGUGCACAUCUUGACGGUACCUAAUCAGAAAGCCACGGCUAACUACGUG
rnacentral:rRNA from 1 species